rnacentral:piRNA from 1 species
CUGAAACUGAAGCUAGUGAAGCCAC